GAGUGUAUAGCUCAGUGGUAGAGCGCAUGCUUAGCAUGCAUGAGGUCCUGCUUCAAUCCCCAGUACCUCCA
rnacentral:tRNA from 1 species